rnacentral:sRNA from 1 species
UAUCAUCCACAUGCGGUGUGAUGAUAUAUAUGUAUGUACUUGCAUGUCAUCCUUAGUGCUCUCUAUCUUCUGUCAACAACCAACAUCACUCUCAAACCUAU